rnacentral:lncRNA from 1 species
AUCUCAGGCAGAAAGGAGCUCUGGUUUUAUCUCUUAAAUUAAGCAACGUUGAUAAAAGCAGCCAGGUUAUGCCGGAGUCAAUGUGAUGGUAAUAAAUUCCUUCCGCUCUUUCUUCAGCCACGGUGAAAAUGGAAAGGGCUAAAUUUACUGCUGUUCUUCAGGCCUCUUUGUACAGUGCAGGAGAAAAUUUAGCCAUUUUGACCUUCCUCUGACAUGUGUAGUCAGUGGAGAUGAGAGCAGAGAAAGCCUUUAUCAAAAUAAAUGAAGUGGAUGCUGGGCUUUCUGACACUAUUACUAAUGCACUCCUGUGUGCUGCAGUUAAAGUGGAAGCCUGCGAGGCCAAGUGCAGGCAGUCUCAGCUGCUGUUUCAUACAGCAGCACAUCACUUGGUUUCAGGCUGUUUCUGUUUUUAAAGCUCUCUGUCCCAGAGGUUCUAUGGUAGUGGCUGUGAAUGAGAUGCAUGCUCGCUGAUGCAAAGGGUACACAAGCUUGUUGCACUGUGUGCGCCAACUGCAAGGAAGGUGGCGAGAGCUCCCAGUUGCAAACCCUUCCCUGGGUUUUUUAUGCUGACCUGGUCUUUACUGCAGCAAGGACAGUGAAUUUGUUGUUUCAGUGGUGUCUUUGUAGAGGAGGUGAUGAGGUGACAGCUCAAGGUGCAGGGGGGUUCCUGCUGCUGGCAGGGGUGUGGGGAACUGCUGUCAGCAGCCCUCAUGGGGCUCAGUGAUUAUAGCAGUCCCUGUAUUUGCCCUGUCUGGUACUGAUCUCAGCCUUCAGCCAUUUCCAGCAUCAGGAUGGCCAAGUGACCACUGCAAAAUGAGCUGAUGUUGAGCUCCUUGCUUGUCAGUGGGGACGUAUUGUACUCUGAGAACCUGAACAGCAUAACUGAGCGGUGAGCUCAAAUCAAGGUGGGUUCUUUCAGGUGCAGACUCUGGGCAAUUGAAACCAGCCUGAGAGAAGAGUUGCAAAACCUAGCCCAUGUGCUUAAAGGAAAGGCUCGGCCUGUGCACUUUUCCUACAGGAGGUAGCAAUACACGUACCUAACAAGCUGUCUCUUGCAGUUAAAUAUUGGCAAUGUACGGGAAGUAGCAUCUGAAAAAACGCAGGUGAUUUGCUUUCUUACAGCGCAUAAAAGACAACUUCAUUUUGUUGAUCAGUACCAGAAAUGACAAAGCUGUGCAGUAGAAUUAGGAUAUAUGCCACAAAGGUUUUUGUUUUGAUUUGCUCUGAAAAGAGCUCGUAUCCUCAGUGGUGCGCAUGCUGUGGUUUGCAAACUGCUCUGCUAUGGGUGAGGUGAACCCAAUGCUACAAAACACUUUGUGCCCAUAGGAAAAAUAGAAGUGCAGUGACAGUGGUGUUGGGCGUUGGAUGAUAGAAAGUUAAGGUCUACUUACAUAUCCAUCUCUAUGGCUUAUUGGGACUUCUCAGGAAGAAUGCUGUCACACAAACAUCAUCAUGCAUAGCCAUGAACAGAACUUUCUCAAUUUUGUUCGUGCUGGAGUAUUUCUAUGCAAAAAGAAAGUGUAUGUAUGUAGCAGUGAAUGCAUGGCUAUAGACACGUCUGGUAAAACUGGGUGAUUAUAUUAAACUAUGAACUGAAGGGAACAUUAGAAUGGUUGCCUGAGGCUCCAGUGUGACUUUUUAGUGCUCUGGAUGGUUAAUAUGGAAUAGCUGCACUGCUAGGACAGAGGAGCCCAGAAUAAUUUUCCUUGUCCUAGUUAAGUCAAGAACUAUUAGAGUAGUGGAAAUAAGGUUUCAGAAAGAGAAGGAAAAGGGGUGAGGGAAGCGUCAGCUCUCACUCUUACUAGUUAGGGAGAAAAGAACACAACAGCAGCAGAAGUCAGAACUGCAAGAGGUGUGAGGAGCAGUUACCGGUGAAAACAGAAGUUAGACUAAUGAUGCCAAAGCAUGUGAGUGGAUUAGGAAUUACUGUCCCUCUUUCUGGUGCUUAAAAGAGCAAACUGUGUGUGAACGUGCAGUAGGGCAGGGAGGGCAGAUGGAUGUGCUCUUCUGACCUGUGUGUUUGUUGGGGAAGGGUUCUGCUCAGUUCCUGACUGCUGGCUGUUGUGGUUUAACCCAGCAGGUGGCUCAGCACCACGCCAUUGUUCCCUCAUUCCUCCCUUCCCAGUAGGAUGGGGGAGAGAAUACAAAAACUCACAGUAGAACUCAUGGGUUGAGAUAAAACUAAGACAGAAAAGGAAGAGAAUAGUAAUUAUGACAUGUAUGCAUAUGAAUGUAUAUAAAAGUGAUGCACAAGCAAUGGCUCGCCGCCCCCUGCCUGAUGCCCAGUUAGCCCCUGAGCAGCAGAAGAGUGAGAGAUGAACUCUCAUCCUCCUCAAAACUCCUGCUUGAUGUCAUAUGGUAUGGAAUAUCCCUUUGGCCAGCUUAAGUCAGCUGUCUUAAUUCUGCUUGUUCCCUCCCAGCUCCUGGGGCCCUUUGCUGCAGAGGGCCUGGGCUCUAUACACUGCUGCUUAGCAGCAGCUACAAACAUCGGUGUGGCAGCAACAUUGCUUUUCUCCUAGACCCAAAGCAUAGCAUCAUACCAGGUACUCUGAAGAAAACAAUUCCAUUCGAUCUGUAACUAAGGUGCUGAUCACUCAGGGUCAUUCCUCUCCCAUCCAGUACCAGCAUAGCACAUGGCUUCCACAGAAGACCUACAGUGGUGAUGUUUCCUCAGUGCCGGGAGUAGAAAAGGGGCAGCAGCUGAGAAACGCAAGUAAAUAACCCCAACUGCCUAGUGAUACUGAACUGCUUGAGAAGUGAUGGCAAGUACGUUUCAAUGCAACUUUUUCACCUCCUUUUCCUAAGGCAUGCUUUUUCCUGUACUGUUUCUGUAAUACCUCCCAGUGAUGCAUGCAGGGAGGAACCUGAUCAACUUGUUACUUACACAGAGGAGGAAAGAAGACAAGCCCAGAGGGGGAGGCAGAAGUGAGCAUUAAACAUUCUUCAUGGCUGCCUCUUUUAAUGAUCUGAAGAAAACUGUCGCUUGUGUCAUCUGAUGUGAUCUUCACAAAGCCCAAGGUAGAAAAGUCAUACCUGUAUUAGAUGCUUAGUGUCUGCAGUCGAAGUCUUACAUUGUGCCUUUAUCUUGAUUACCUUUGUUACCUUGGGCACUUGACGGGGAAGAAAGCCACGUUGUUCUGAUUGCUUCAUGUUUCCAAGAUACUUUUUUUUUGAGGGGAAAGAUUUCCUGUGCUUUGUUCGACCUCUGAAGCAGAAUUUGGUCUUUCUGGGAAUUGUGUGAGAGCAAGUGAUUGCCUGGAGCAAGAGAAUACAUUCUGAAACUGCAGUAGCAAAGACCUUGAUCUCAAAGGCCACCUGCUACUGCUCUCCUUCUCUUCAGCCUUAAAGUUCACCAGGUUACAAACUCGGCUUGUCAUCUUUCUAUACAAUGGGUAGCAGUUCUGCAGAAGAUGAACAGAAUGGUUUCUCAAGGAUUACUUCCUGCUUAUAUCCCAGCUAGCAGUCUCCUCCUGUGGAAACCUUGGUGUAGUCUUCAGAAGACAUACUGAGUUGUCUUUUGGCUGCCUUUCUGGAUUCUCCCUUUACUGCUUAGUCUUUUGGGGGCCAGUCAGUAAAUCCUUGUCAACACAUAGCUUUUGACCUUCAGGUUUGCAACCCAGCUAACACAGAUACUUGGUAGGAGCUGAAUAUUCAAUAACAAACCUUCAACUGUUUCGUCCACAAAUUGUUAUAUAUCGAUCAACUUAUGCAAAGGGUUUUCUUAUAAAAAGCUAAACAAACUACUGGGCAUUAUUGAUUGAAGAAAAUGGGGAAAAUAUGUGAUAUUCUUUAUUGAUGUGGCUGAGCUUUGCACUUGUUAAGCAAUGCUCUGCGUAUGUAUUUUCUGUUCAUGGUUGAUGUUUAUUUUAUUUGCUGAGAUCAGUCAGAAAUACCUCGAUAGCAUGCUAGGAUUGUGUUUCUGGAGUGAACUCUGUUGGUGAAAGGGAAAUCCUAACCAGCAUCACUGUGCACAGGUCUGCAGGUGCUUUGGUGAUGUUCCCUUAUGUGAUACUGUCUUAGUUCUGAAUGUGAGGCACAAAGGGCAGAGCACCUUCUCAGUCAUUUUGCUUUUAAGUAGUUCUGGUAGUUGAGUAGAGCUGUUCUAAAAUGUUUUCUUCUCUUUCAACUUAUUCUCUUCACCUUAAACACAAACACAAGAAUCCCAUGGACGUUUCAAGACUAUGGCUCUUUCAAGACUAUCUAGGGUCAGCGAUUGCAGGGAAUGCAAGGUGCAGUCAUUUUUUGUGUUUUGUUCUGUCUGCUGUUUGGCACAAGAGAGACUCCCCUGGCCCCCAAGUGCUGCCAACAAUUACAGACACUUACCAGUCCCCAGCGGGAAUAACUGUUUUCAGCCAAUAUUUACAGCCUGCUCUGUGCUGGAAGAAUGGAGCUACUGCUGCUACUGUAAGUUGGAGAUGUAGGGAGGCUUCCUUUUGGCUCUUCAGUAAGAAAUAAGGUGUAAAAUACAGCUCUGAUAGCGGCUGUUAGCUUUAUUAAUUGCCCAAGAAGUGCUGCAGAAGAUGUUGCAUAGCUGCAGGCUUCCCCAGCUCCAACUAAUCAGUGUAUCUGUGCUUUCUUCUGGGACUGAAUGCUGAUCUGUGAGUAACCGUGGUCGCCUUGAGCUUGGUGUGGAAGGAUCCUCCAUACAGCUGUACAUCACAAAGCACGACUGAGGCCAAGGCUCCAGGAGGUGUUUUGUGAACUGCAUCAGGUCUGGCCGCCUCUUCCACAUGCCUACAAAGGUUGCUGGUUGCUGUUCUAUUGGAAGAAGAGUCAUCAGCUUUUGGGAAGCUGGAAGUUCAAAGCAGCCAACAGUGAGAGUUGAGAUUCUGCUCUCAGCAGUAGUGUGUUCCUACCUGAGACUGCUCUGUGGCCUGAAACCUGACAAUGGUUGUUUAUUGGGCACGCCAGAAGGGAAGAUAACUUGCAGAAGAGAGGAUUGUUCCGAAGCCUAAUCAGAGACUUUUACAAGAACCAGGCGAUGUCGUAAGUGCUUAAUCUUCCCAGCAGAAGCAGUCUAUUUCUUUGAUUUACCUUUUUUAGCUUGAAAUGGUGCUGCGUGGAUGCUAAAAGCCCAUGCUCCUAAAAUAGAGUAGAAUAAGCACUUACAGUGAUGACUGUUUCAGGAGAGGAGAGGGAGAAGGUAACAAUGUAUAGCUAACACAUAUCAGGCACAUUGCUUAAUGUAUCCAGAGACCUCAGACACCAUCAGUAGAAAUGUGGCAGAGGAACCCAGAGGGAACUAUUUCUAAUGAACCAGACUGUAU